rnacentral:rRNA from 1 species
UACAGAGGUCUCAAGCGUUGUUCGGAAUCACUGGGCGUAAAGGGUGCGUAGGCCGCACGGUAAGUCAGAGGUGAAAUCCCGGAGCUCAACUUCGGAAUUGCCUCCGAUACUGCCGUGCUUGAGGACUGGAGAGGAGUCUGGAAUUCACAGUGGAGCAGUGAAAUGCGUAGAUAUUGUGAGGAACACGAGUGGCGAAGGCGAGACUCUGGACAGUUCCUGACGCUGAGGCACGAAGGCCAGGGGAGCAAACGGG